AGUGAACGCUGGCGGUAGGUCUAACACAUGCAAGUCGAACGGCAGCACAGUAGGAGCUUGCUCUUACGGGUGGCGAGUGGCGGACGGGUGAGGAAUACAUCGGAAUCUACUUUUUCGUGGGGGAUAACGUAGGGAAACUUACGCUAAUACCGCAUACGACCUACGGGUGAAAGCAGGGGAUCUUCGGACCUUGCGCGAUUGAAUGAGCCGAUGUCGGAUUAGCUAGUUGGCGGGGUAAAGGCCCACCAAGGCGACGAUCCGUAGCUGGUCUGAGAGGAGGAUCAGCCACACUGGAACUGAGACACGGUCCAGACUCCUACGGGAGGCAGCAGUGGGGAAUAUUGGACAAUGGGCGCAAGCCUGAUCCAGCCAUACCGCGUGGGUGAAGAAGGCCUUCGGGUUGUAAAGCCCUUUUGUUGGGAAAGAAAAGCAGCAGGUUAAUACCCCGCUGUUCUGACGGUACCCAAAGAAUAAGCACCGGCUAACUUCGUG
rnacentral:rRNA from 1 species